AAAAAAACCACAAUAAUACCUCUAGUUAAGUUUGAGAGGCGACGAGGUCUGCGAAUACCUCUAGUUAAGACUGAAACAAAGAACUUGUGCACUUUUCUGUCAUUUCAUCGCUCGCAGAUCUGAAAUUAUGCUUCUCGGUUUUGGCUUUGGUUUUGUUUCGGUGUUUUGGAAUGCAUUUUGGACUUUGUUUCGUGGAUUUGUGGCUGGACUGCUAUUUUGCAAUGCCAUGGCUGUACUGAAUGAGCACAGGUUUCUCGGUCGAAUGGGGCUAACUCUGAAAGAUGAUGGAGCUGGGGAUGAGAGGAAGAAGCUCAUCACUUUCAAGUAUUGGGUCACACGGAUUUUACAGGCCGCCCGAUGGUCGAGGCAAAUCCUCAUAUUGGUGAACGGCAUCAUUAUUUGCAUUCUGUUGUUGCUUGGGUACUGGCUCUAGUUCUUCUUCAAGGCUCGGUCUCAUGAAUUUGGUAGGGUUUAGUUGAGUUCAUCUUCAUCUUCAUCUUCUUACUUCUUAGGGUACUACUGGUGUCUCUGGUUUUUAUUACUGGACCCUGUGUGUGGAUCCUUGAGUACUACUGGAUCGAUAUCAGAUCAAACUAUUAUAGUAUAUGCUUUAAUUCUGAAUAUCAGUUAUGUUCUUGAAGAAGCUUA